CUCACGCCUGGAAGCUCCUCUGCGGAGUGGGGCUCGGCGCAGGCCAAAGGUUCGUGCGCUCCAUUCCUAGGGGUGGUUCGCCGGCGCAGCUCGGAACGCAAACCUUCUUGCGGGAGGUGUCCACUUAUUGGGUACCCACUGUGUGCCUGAAGCUUUGCACACCGUUUUGUCAUUUAACCGCUGAAGGUGCGGUCUCCACCAGGGUUUUGUGCCUUGCCCGUGGCACCCGGAUCGUUAAGGUCGAUCUGCUCGACUCAAAACACAGGCUUUAACCGCCAAGCGGGCUGGCUCCUUUGUUGUAAUGCAGAGAAGUUGGCUUCACAGUGAGUAGUGACCUUUACCUCGUGGCUGUCCCGGGGCCACCUGAAACUCCUUUCGCAUACCUUGUGUCUGAUGAUGCUGGGAAUCACUAAAGGACAUUCGCGGGGAAUUGGCCCAGCUUCAGUCCGUUGUGCACUCGCCCCUCUCCAUCAUGGAGCCACCAUGGGUCAGGGCUUCACCCUUGUCUUGGGGGGCUUGCCAUUUGUAUCUCCAAGAUUUGAGGUAGCAUAGAGCCUGUCUGUAACUGGUGCCCGAAGAAGUCUGACAAGAGACUGGAGCUGCCCUUGUUGGCGGGGCGAGGAGAAAGGGCUGCACGUCCCUGAGUGGCAGGGUGGACAGGAGCCUGGGAAAUGGAUAAGGAGAAGGAGCAAAAGAACCCUGAGUACCUCUCUGCGUCCACCCAGGGCCAUAGUCAUCGUGAUCAGAGGGGAGGAUGAGAUGUCCUAGUCAUCUAGUGUGGCCGAGGCCUCCACUGGUUCUGUCCCUGUGGGGGCCCCAGGACCAGCUGGACCAGGGUCUGAUCCCCCACAUGCCCACCCAAGGAUGGAGAUAGGAAUUUCUCCCACCUGGUAGGUAUCAGAAUCUGGACGCUGAUCCUCAGCCUCCCCGACCUCCCCCUCAGCUCAGCUUCUCUGUUGUGUUAGAACACGCUGCCCUGAUGGUCUCCUCCACACUCACUCGGCCAGAGACCACAGUGUGGGAGUCCUCUGGUCUCUGGGCCUGGGUUAAUUUGUUUCUAAAUGCAGGGGUAGGCUUAGGCCACUCAGAUAUCUCCCAGCACCAAGUCCCAUCCAACUGGGUGGCACAGAAGCCCUUUGCACUGGCCUUACGUGCUUUACAAGGCCUAGCAGCUGGCCAGUAUGGGCUGAGGCCUGCUUCCUGGACCUCUUGGCCCAGCCCAUGGCCUGUGAGCUUCAGUCUUGCUGGCUCAGAGCCUAGUCCGUGGUGUCCUCCCCCGAGCACCUGUGUUGAGCCUUCCCUUGGGAGCAGGGCAGCAGAGGCACACUCCUAUUUUUUUAAUUUUGAUAAAAUACAAGUAAAAUAAAAUUUGCCAUAUUAACAGAUUUUAAGUGUAUACUUCAAUAGUGUGUACUUAAGUACAUACACACUCUUAUGCAACCAUCACCACCAUCCAUCUCCGGAAUUAUUCUUCUGUUGCAAAACUAAAACACAGUUAAAYGCUCUGCAUUUCUUACUCACCCUGGCCCCGGGCAGUCCCUUUAGGAAUUGGACUACUCUCCUACCUCAUAGACGUGGAAGGUGUGUGCCCUUAUUUCACUCAGCAUAAUAUCUUCAGGACCCAUCCAUGGUGUAGUAGGUGUCAGAAUCUCUUUCCUUUUUAAGACUAAAUUAAUAUUUCAUUGUA